AGAGACAGAGACAGAGACAGAGACAGAGACAGAGACAGAGACAGAGACAGAGACAGAGACAGAGACAGAGACAGACACAGAGACAGAGACAGAGACAGAGAGAGAGAGAGAGAGAGAGAGAGAGAGAGAGAGAGAGAGAGACAGAGACAGAGACAGAGACAGAGACAGAGACAGAGACAGAGACAGAGAGAGAGAGAGAGAGAGAGAGAGAGAGAGAGAGAGAGAGAGAGAGAGAGAGAUUGCAGAUGCUCUUGCCCCGGUGUCUCAUCCCUCUGUGUCGACCAUGUUUCCCUGUGUAAAUAAUUAAACUGCUGAACCAAACAGCUAACAGGACGCAAACACACACACAGCUGAACCUCACAGACGGACAGAGCUAAAAGGCCACACCUUUCUACAACAGUAAUAAGCCUGCCCCAUUAGCAAGCAUUACACACAUUAAUCUCAAUGACACACACACACACAAUCACAAAAACACACAGAGAGAGAGAUUUACAGGCACUCACUAAACAGAGAUGGUCAAGAACCUGAGCCCUAGGACCAUACGUCAGGACUACCGGGCAUGCUGACACCUUGCUGUCCCCAGUCCGCCUGGCCUUGCUGCUAUUCCAGUUUCAACUGUUCUGCCUGCGGUUACGAAACCCCUACCUGUUCCAGACCUGCUGUUUUCAACUCUUAAUGAUCGGCUAUGAAAAGCCAACUGAGAUUUAUUCCUGAUUAUUAUUUGACCAUGCUUGUCAUUUAUGAACAUUUUGAAAAUCUUGGCUCUCUCUAAUUUUCUCCUUCUCUCUUUCUUUCUCUCGGAGGACCUGAGCCCUAGGACCAUACGUCGGGACUACCGGCCGUGGUGACUCCUUGCUGUCCCCAGUCCGCCUGGCCUUGCUGCUAUUCCAGUUUCAACUGUUCUGCCUGCGGUUAUGGAACCCCUACCUGUCCCAGACCUGCUGUUUUCAACUCUUAAUGAUCGGCUAUGAAAAGCAAACUGAGAUUUAUUCCUGAUUAUUAUUUGACCAUGCUUGUCAUUUAUGAACAUUUUGAAAAUCUUGGCUCUCUCUAAUUUUCUCCUUCUCUCUUUCUUUCUCUCGGAGGACCUGGUCCCCAGGACCAUGCGUCGGGACUGCCGCCCGUGGUGACUCCUUGCUGUCCCCAGUCCGCCUGGCCUUGCUGCUAUUCCAGUUUCAGCUGUUCUGCCUGCGGUUAUGGAAUCGCCACCUGUCCCAGACCUGUUGUUUUUCAACUCUUAAUGAUCAGCUAUGAAAAGCCAACUGAAAAUUAUUCAUGAUUAUUAUUUGACCAUGCUUGUCACUUAUGAACAUUUUUGAACAUCUUGGCAUAGUUCUGUUAUAAUCUCCACCCGGCACAGCCAGAAGAGGACUGGCCACCCCUCAUAGCCUGGUUCCUCUCUAGGUUUCUUCCUAGGUUUUGGCCUUUCUAGGGAGUUUUUCCUAGCCACCGUGCUUCUACACCUGCAUUACUAGCUGUUUGGGGUUUUAGGCUGGGUUUCUGUACAGCACUUCGAGAUAUUAGCUGAUGUACGAAGGGCUAUAUAAAAUAAAAUUGAUUGAUUGAUUGAUUUAUUCUAUUCUAUUGAGCCAUUUACUUUAUGUUCAUAUUCUUAUCUUUUAUUAUUUCUUAUUGUUGUCGCAUUGUCGAGAAAGAACCUGCAAGUAAGCAUUUCGACGGUGUAUACCAUGUGUAUCCUGUACAUAUGACUAAUAAAACAUGAAACUUG